ACAGAUUUAGCUAAAUGGUCUAAGCGCUGGUCUCGUAUUCCAGUCUCUGUCUGUUGAUGUAGGCUCGAUUCCUACUGUCUUCA
rnacentral:tRNA from 1 species